rnacentral:tRNA from 1 species
GUGCCCGUAGCUCAUCUGGAUAGAGCAGCUGCCUUCUAAGCAGCAGGUAGGGGGUUCGAGUCCCUCCGGGCACACCA